GGAAAGAUGCUCGAGUGGCUGAAGAGGCACGCCUGGAAAGCGUGUAUACGUCAAAAGCGUAUCGGGGGUUCGAAUCCCCCUCUUUCCGCCC
rnacentral:tRNA from 1 species